rnacentral:piRNA from 1 species
UGUCCCAGAAAGUUACAGGCAUCUGCUAA